rnacentral:rRNA from 1 species
UACGUAGGCAGCAAGCGUUGUUCGGAGUUACUGGGCGUAAAGGGUGCGUAGGCGGUUCCGUAAGUAUGGUGUGAAAUCUCCCGGCUUAACUGGGAGGGUGCGCUAUAAACUGCGGGACUAGAGUGUGGGAGAGGAAAGUGGAAUUCCUGGUGUAGCGGUGAAAUGCGUAGAUAUCAGGAGGAACACCGGUGGUGUAAACGGCUUUCUGGACCAUAACUGACGCUGAGGCACGAAAGCGUGGGUAGCAAACAGG